rnacentral:lncRNA from 1 species
GCGGUCUCUUUCUAAAAUAUUUCAAUUCACUUCUUGCCAGAGUUUAAAAUUGAGUCCCGGCAAGACCAACUUCUUUGAUUUACACAUUCAAGAUGCAAAGGAAUGUCUCGAACUCUCUAUAGAGACAAAAGAGGGCCAAAAAAUAUGGGAUGUUAAUAUAGAACCAGGUAAACAACCCACAAGGACUUGCAACAUUCUCUGCGGAUCGUCUGUUUAAUCUUUUGUGUUUUAAUUUGUUGUCUGUGUUCUUCCAGAUGAACUCAACACAAACAGUUCAGCAUCUGACUGGAGGCUAAAAACAAUUAAUAGAUCGGUGCUGAUUUUGCAAUGGUGGCGCCAGCUGAUAACAGCUAUUGAACUCUCAGCUGGUGGUCCUCUUAAAACGUCUCUUCAGCGAUCCAGAAGUGAGCUGAUGUUCCCGACACUUCGUGAGCCGUCAGACCAAAGACUCCUGUUAGCGUUUAUUCAAGUUCCUGGUUUCUUUUCUUUGGUCUGACGGCUUGAUGAGAGUCUUUAUUAUACUUAUUGCAUCUUACCCCUAGCGGACGUAAUCGUUUUAAUUCAUGUUUGUUUUCUUUACCCAGCUCUUCAGUCUGCAGAGACUGACACCGCACAGAAAAAGGGAAGAUGCAAAAAGGGUGAAGGUAAACAUAAUUUAUGAAAAAUAGAUCUGGCUGUUUCUGUGCAGAUUCU